UAAAUAUGUAUGGUUACUGAUUGACUAGUUCAUCUCAUAUAUACCCAGUUCCCCCGAAAACACGUCAAUAUAUAAAAGAUCACAGAAUUUAGGAAAAGGGAAGUAAUUGUGCCGACCUAAUUGAAGCUCAGGUUCACGUACGGUUGGAGUUGCAAGUUUAUGGGUUGUGAGAUUCCUUUAAGUGCAGGGAAGGGAAAAAAGGUGAGAUGUCCGCGUAACAUUCUACCAUCGCAAAUUUUAACUUCAUCCGUUCAUUUUGGGAAAGCUCUUGCGAAUCAGGUUCUUUAGGAUUGACAGGAUUACAGAACCUUGAAAAUACUUGAAUUGUUCCAUCCAGUGUUUAGAGCACACCCCAAAGCUUGUGGACUGUCUUCUUGGAGAUUAUGGUAGAGAAAUAAAUCCAGAUAAGACAAUCCAUGGGGUAUGAAUGUAUAUCACCUUUCGUUGCACUUUCUUAAUAUUCAUGACUUGAUGUUGGGCGAUGAAUGUGUGUGUUAGGAAGGAAGAACCGGGGUGCGUUUGUUCUUGUCUCUCUUUAAUGUCAUUUCACUUCAUCUUGACCACAAUGAGAAAUACAAAUUUACAACCAUUUCCUUCA